rnacentral:rRNA from 1 species
UCAGUUAUCGCAAUGUAAGUAGAGGCGGGAGGUCCGUCGCUGGCAUGCCUUCACGGCGUGUAACGUGCACGACCUCUCGAACCUCUUCAUCCAUUACACACACUUGUGCACUAUAGGACGAGGCCCUCCCUGUGAUGGAGCCGCUCCACGUAACCUCUCCUUCGGGGAGUGGGGGUGGGGCUGGGGCCUCGCUUCCUCUUUCAUACAACAUCCAGUCUAAUGCAUGUAAUCGAAUUUCUUAAACGAAAUACAACUUUCAACAACGGAUCUCUUGGCUUUCGCAUCGAUGAAGGACGCCGCGAAAGUGCGACAACGUAAUGUGAAUUGCAGAAUUCAGUGAAUCAUCGAAUCUUUGAACGCAUCUUGCGCUCCUUGGUAUUCCGAGGAGCAUGCCUGUUUGAGUGUCGUGAAAUAACAUCGAUCCCAGCCUCUUGCGAGGCGAAGGGUCGGAUUUGGAUGUUGCAGUCCUUUACAAGGUCUGCUCGUCUUGAAAUGCAUUAGCGUUCCGUCGCGAGAUCGGUCACAACGGUGUGAUAAGUCUACUUCUGGCGCCGUUCCGCGUCUCGCGUGUAAGGAUGCUUCUAAUCGUCUUAGGACAAUUUCAUGUCGUCUGACCUCAAAUCAGGUAGGACUACCCGCUGAACUUAAGCAUAUCAAUAAGCGGAGGAAAAGAAACUAACAAGGAUUCCCCUAGUAACGGCGAGUGAAGCGGGAAGAGCUCAAAUUUGAAAUCUGGCGGUCUCAGGCCGUCCGAGUUGUAGUCUGGAGAAGCGUUUUCCGCGUCGGACCGUGUAUAAGUCUCUUGGAACAGGGCGUCAUAGAGGGUGAGAAUCCCGUCUUUGACACGGACUACCGAUGCUUUGUGAUGCGCUCUCGAAGAGUCGAGUUGUUUGGGAAUGCAGCUCAAAACGGGUGGUAAAUUCCAUCUAAAGCUAAAUAUUGGCGAAAGACCGAUAGCGAACAAGUACCGUGAGGGAAAGAUGAAAAGCACUUUGGAAAGAGAGUUAAAAAGUACGUGAAAUUGUUGAAAGGGAAACGAUUGAAGUCAGUCGCGUCUCUCAGGACUCAGCCCUGGCUUCUGCCUGGUGCAUUUCCUGAGGCGACGGGCCGAGCAUCAAUUUCGACCGAUAGAGAAAGGCGAGGGGAGAUGUGGCACCUUCGGGUGUGUUAUAGCCCUUCGUCGUAUGUAUCGGUCGGGAUUGAGGAUCGGCAGCACGCCUUAAUGGCCGGGGUUCGCCCACGUAACGUGCUUAGGAUGCUGGCGUAAUGGCUUUAAACGACCCGUCUUGAAACACGGACCAAGGAGUCUAACAUGCCUGCGAGUGUUUGGGUGGAAAACCCGGACGCGGAAUGAAAGUGAAAUGUUGGGACCUCUGUCGUGGAGUGCACCGACGCCCGGACCAGACCUUCUGUGACGGUUCCGAGGUAGAGCAUGUAUGUUGGGACCCGAAAGAUGGUGAACUAUGCCUGAGUAGGGUGAAGCCAGAGGAAACUCUGGUGGAGGCUCGUAGCGAUUCUGACGUGCAAAUCGAUCGUCGAACUUGGGUAUAGGGGCGAAAGACUAAUCGAACCAUCUAGUAGCUGGUUCCUGCCGAAGUUAUCCCUCAGGAUAGCAGAGACUCAUAUCAGAUUUAUGUGGUAAAGCGAAUGAUUAGCGACCUUGGGGUUGAAACAACCUUAAUCGAUUCUCAAACUUUAAAUAUGUAAGAACGAGCCGUCACUUGAUUGGACCGCUCGGCGAAUGAGAGUCUCUAGUGGGCCAUUUUUGGUAAGCAGAACUGGCGAUGCGGGAUGAACCGAUCGCGAGGUUAAGGUGCCGGAAUACACGCUCAUCAGACACCACAAAAUGUGUGAGUUCAUCUAGACAGCAGGACGGUGGCCAUGGAAGUCGGAAUCCGCUAAAGAGUGUGUAACACUCACCUGCCGAGUGAACUGCCAUGAAAAUGGAUGGCGCUCAAGCGUGUUACCCAUACCUCGCCGUCAGCGUUGAAGUGACCCGCUGACAAGUAGGCAGGCGUGAGGGUAGGGAAGAAGCCUGGCAGUGAUGCUGGGUGACCGAACCUAGUGCGAUCUGGUGUA